AGAGCGAACGCUGGCGGCAGGCUUAACACAUGCAAGUCGAGCGGGCGUAGCAAUACGUCAGCGGCAGACGGGUGAGUAACGCGUGGGAACAUACCUUUUGGUUCGGAACAACACAGGGAAACUUGUGCUAAUACCGGAUAAGCCCUUACGGGGAAAGAUUUAUCGCCGAAAGAUUGGCCCGCGUCUGAUUAGCUAGUUGGUGAGGUAACGGCUCACCAAGGCGACGAUCAGUAGCUGGUCUGAGAGGAUGAUCAGCCACAUUGGGACUGAGACACGGCCCAAACUCCUACGGGAGGCAGCAGUGGGGAAUAUUGGACAAUGGGCGCAAGCCUGAUCCAGCCAUGCCGCGUGAGUGAUGAAGGCCCUAGGGUUGUAAAGCUUCUUUUGUGCGGGAAGAUAAGUGACGGUACCGCGAAGAAUAACGCCCCGGACUAACGUUCGCGCCAGCAGCCGC
rnacentral:rRNA from 1 species